GAUGAAGAACGUAGCGAAAUGCGAUAAGUAAUGUGAAUUGCAGAAUUCAGUGAAUCAUCGAAUCUUUGAACGCACAUUGCGCCCGCCAGUAUUCUGGCGGGCAUGCCUGUCUGAGCGUCAUUUCAACCCUCAUGCCCCUAGGGCGUGGUGUUGGGGAUCGGCCAAAGCCGCGAGGGACGGCCGGCCCCUAAAUCUAGUGGCGGACCCGUCGUGGCCUCCUCUGCGAAGUAGUGAUAUUCCGCAUCGGAGAGCGAUGAGCCCCUGCCGUUAAACCCCCAACUUUCCAAGGUUGACCUCAGAUCAGGUAGGAAUACCCGCUGAACUUAAGCAUAUCAAUAAGCGGAGGA
rnacentral:misc_RNA from 1 species